rnacentral:rRNA from 1 species
UACGUAGGUGGCAAGCGUUGUUCGGAAUUAUUAGGCGUAAAGCGCACGUAGGCGGCAUUGCAAGUCCCAUGUGAAAUCCCACGGCUUAACCGUGGAAGUGCAUGGGAAACUGCAGUGCUUGAGUACUUAAGAGGAUCGCGGAAUUCCCGGUGUAGAGGUGAAAUUCGUAGAUAUCGGGAGGAACACCAGUGGCGAAGGCGGCGAUCUGGGAAGAUACUGACGCUGAGGUGCGAAAGCGUGGGGAGCAAACGGG